rnacentral:rRNA from 1 species
CAGGAUGAACGCUAGCGACAGGCUUAACACAUGCAAGUCGAGGGGCAGCAUAAAAGUAGCAAUACUUGGUGGCGACCGGCGCACGGGUGAGUAACGCGUAUGCAACCUACCUAUCAGGAGGGGAAUAACCCGGCGAAAGUCGGACUAAUACCGCAUAAAACAGGGGCACCGCAUGGUGAUAUUUGUUAAAGAAAUUCGCUGAUAGAUGGGCAUGCGUUCCAUUAGGUAGUUGGUGAGGUAACGGCUCACCAAGCCGACGAUGGAUAGGGGAACUGAGAGGUUGGUCCCCCACACUGGUACUGAGGCACGGACCAGACUCCUACGGGAGGCAGCAGUGAGGAAUAUUGGUCAAUGGGCGGGAGCCUGAACCAGCCAAGUCGCGUGAAGGAAGAAGGAUCUAUGGUUCGUAAACUUCUUUUGCAGGGGAAUAAAGUGCAGGACGUGUCCUGUUUUGUAUGUACCCUGAGAAUAAGGAUCGGCUAACUCCGUGCCAGCCGCGGC